rnacentral:rRNA from 1 species
AUACGUAGGUGGCAAGCGUUGUCCGGAUUUAUUGGGCGUAAAGCGAGCGCAGGCGGUCUUUUAAGUCUGAUGUGAAAGCCUUCGGCUCAACCGAAGAAGUGCAUCGGAAACUGGGAGACUUGAGUGCAGAAGAGGAGAGUGGAACUCCAUGUGUAGCGGUGAAAUGCGUAGAUAUAUGGAAGAACACCAGUGGCGAAGGCGGCUCUCUGGUCUGUAACUGACGCUGAGGCUCGAAAGCGUGGGUAGCAAACAGGAUUAGAUACCCUGGUAGUCCACGCCGUAAACGAUGAAUGCUAAGUGUUGGAGGGUUUCCGCCCUUCAGUGCUGCAGCUAACGCAUUAAGCAUUCCGCCUGGGGAGUACGACCGCAAGGUUGAA